rnacentral:rRNA from 1 species
AUUGAACGCUGGCGGCAUGCCUUACACAUGCAAGUCGAACGGUAACGCGGGGCAACCUGGCGACGAGUGGCGAACGGGUGAGUAAUGUAUCGGAACGUGCCCAGUUGUGGGGGAUAACUGCUCGAAAGAGCAGCUAAUACCGCAUACGACCUGAGGGUGAAAGCGGGGGAUCGCAAGACCUCGCGCAAUUGGAGCGGCCGAUAUCAGAUUAGGUAGUUGGUGGGGUAAAGGCUCACCAAGCCGACGAUCUGUAGCUGGUCUGAGAGGACGACCAGCCACACUGGGACUGAGACACGGCCCAGACUCCUACGGGAGGCAGCAGUGGGGAAUUUUGGACAAUGGACGCAAGUCUGAUCCAGCCAUGCCGCGUGCGGGAAGAAGGCCUUCGGGUUGUAAACCGCUUUUGUCAGGGAAGAAAAGGCUCCUUCUAAUAUAGGGGGCUCAUGACGGUACCUGAAGAAUAAGCACCGGCUAACUACGUGCCAGCAGCCGCCGUAACAC